UCGGUUGUCAAGUAUUUCUUAAAAAAGUCAGAUGCAAAUGUCUUCUUUGAACAUCACGUAACUCAAAUCUGUCUUCGGGACGGGAAAUGGGAAGUCUCCAGGAAAACAGGAUCACCAGAACAGUUUGAUAUAGUUAUUCUCACAAUGCCCGUUCCUCAAAUUCUUCAGCUGCAAGGA